AAGACUAUACUUUCAGGGAUCAUUUCUAUAGUUCGUUACUAGAGAAGUUUCUCUGACUGUGUAGAGCAUUGGAAGCCAUGACAAGGAGGCACAGCGUUCUCUCCUGAGCAAGAAGACGGCUCUUCGCGUUGCUUUGCUGCAAUUGCCGCUUGUCAUUGAUGAUCAUGUCUGCUCCCCUCCAGAGGAGCUGCAGGGAGAGGAUGCCAUCUGAGUGAC
ensembl:snoRNA U3 Small nucleolar RNA U3